CAGGAGCAUGAGAAAUUUUCUUUUGGUUGCUUAGUUCUCCCUAUCAAGGAAAUACAAACAAAAGUGAAUGAAGAUGAGGCGAACAAAUUUUCAGUCACAAUAGUCUUUAUCAAUUAAGGCUAUGACACUUAUCAUGAAAAUGAUACAACCAAAAGGAUGAGUAGAAGAAUCGUCCCUGACAAUCAUAACAACAGAAAUAUUGCUGGCAGUAAAAUAAAGUUGCUUAUAUGGCCCAUGAUACCAAGCUUGACACAAAUCACAAUAAAAAUGUGUUGUAUUAGAUAACUUAAUUUACCCUUUUUGUAAAGAACCUAGGUUCUUUUUUAAUCUUUUGUACAAGUUCGUGUUGCUCUUUUAGUUGUGUUGUGUUAUGUUAAAAUGUUGCACGGUACCAGAAGAUAGAAUUUUGUCAAUCCAAGU